UACAGAGGGGGGCGAGCGUUGUUCGGAAUUACUGGGCGUAAAGGGCGCGUAGGCGGCCCGCUAAGUCGAACGUGAAAUCCCCAGGCUCAACCCUGGGAACUGCGUCCGAUACUGGCAGGCUUGAAUCCGGGAGAGGGAUGCGGAAUUCCAGGUGUAGCGGUGAAAUGCGUAGAUAUCUGGAGGAACACCGGUGGCGAAGGCGGCAUCCUGGACCGACAUUGACGCUGAGGCGCGAAAGCCAGGGGAGCAAAGCGGG
rnacentral:rRNA from 1 species